UUGACUUGCUGCAGUACAAUGAAAUCGUCCUUCACUUUCUGCACUCAAAACAAACCCUGGUCUCGGGCAUUCAGCUUUUCUAGCGCUGCAUAGCUGAGAGUGGAAAAAAUAACAUCUGAAACAGGAUGGGCUUUUGAUGCUGUGUCCUUAUGACAGACACAUUUGAAAACCACCGCUGAGGCCAGCCGCCUCCCGAUCCUAAGGGAACCUCAGGAUUUUGCCGGUGGAAGAAGAUCCCCAAGUUGUAACAAGCAGCUCCAGAAGAGGACGCUUGAGAUGAUGUUGGGUCCACUUGGGAGAAGCCAGGAGGGGUCCCCGUCUUGAAGUCAGCUGAUCGCAGCCUCACUCAACCUCAGCAACCCUUACCCUUCUUUGCCAUGGAGCCUAGCAUCUUCCCAGGUUUGGGGAGUGAGAAUGGGGACAUCUUUGGGGGCUGUUAUUCUGGGAUGGUUUGUGGGAACUUUGUGAGCCUCCCCUGGCAGGGGACCAUUUCUCACUCCUAACAAUGUAAUUGAUGGAUGCACAUUUACUAUCUGCCUGGAGUGGUCCUGAGUACAUGGUGUAUAUUUAACCUUCAUGACAGUUCUGUGAGGAAGAUGCUAUUUCUCCCUCCACCCUACCAAGGAGGCAACUGUAUAGUGAAUGUCCAUGGCAUCCAGCCUCUGGCCCAGACUCCAGGGGCUCUAGAUAAAUACAGGGGCAUCACCUUCGGGAUCCCCAGCACAAGCCAGCCUGACCUCUUGUUCCCCAUAAGUCCUCCCGCAGAUAGAAGAGGGGCUUCCUGUUAUGGCAGAGGCCCUGCCCAGCAGGGAAGGGUGAGUUACAAAGUUCUGUUCAUCUUGCUGGCCUCACACCAUCCUCGUCCUGACCACGUGAUGCUGAGUUUCCAGCGAAGACUAUGGACGAGCCAGAAACACCUGCACCCUUGUGUGCUUGGCUUUGGCCGUGACCAUGGAAGCUGGUGACAGCCAAUGCAAGGAAAUCCCCCUGCUGCUGUUUGCCCCGAGUGGAGAGGACCUUCAGUGGAGGAGAGGAAGCUAUCCUAAACUGGAAUGUGGUAACAUGGUCCCACCCUUCAGGGGACCCUGGAGUCAUUUGGCCGAAGAGGGGGGUGUGUACGCUUACAUGGAGAGGUUGCCCCCUCAUUCAUGUCCCCUCCUCAGCCUGGCCCUGUGACCCCCCUCUGCAGAUGGCCCCUCUGCCCACCAACAUCUGAUGGAUCUGCCCCAAAUGACAGAAGGACAGUAGGGCUGGACACCCAGCUCCUUGACCUUUUUAGAACUUGGUCCAAGAUGUAACGGCCGAGCCCCUGUUGGCAAGAUGGACCCCAAACAGGAGAGAAUUACAAGCCCACAUGAAGGGCCCCGGGGAAGUCGGAUGAGAGAACCUCCACCGCCAAGUUCCGCCGAUUUCACAAGUUUGUUACCAACCCCACAAGUGUUCGGUUGCUUAAAAACGAUUUAAUUUUUGCAAUCUCCCAGAAAGAGGGUGCCCCAAAUGAAAACUGAUGUUUGAAAAAUAGCAGCAAUGGGAGAUGAAAGAAGGUUCUUCUCCAA